AGUGAACGCUGGCGGUAGGCCUAACACAUGCAAGUCGAACGGCAGCACAGUAAGAGCUUGCUCUUACGGGUGGCGAGUGGCGGACGGGUGAGGAAUACAUCGGAAUCUACUUUUUCGUGGGGGAUAACGUAGGGAAACUUACGCUAAUACCGCAUACGACUUACGGGUGAAAGCAGGGGAUCUUCGGACCUUGCGCGAUUGAAUGAGCCGAUGUCGGAUUAGCUAGUUGGCGGGGUAAAGGCCCACCAAGGCGACGAUCCGUAGCUGGUCUGAGAGGAUGAUCAGCCACACUGGAACUGAGACACGGUCCAGACUCCUACGGGAGGCAGCAGUGGGGAAUAUUGGACAAUGGGCGCAAGCCUGAUCCAGCCAUACCGCGUGGGUGAAGAAGGCCUUCGGGUUGUAAAGCCCUUUUGUCGGGAAAGAAAAGCAGCAGGUUAAUACCCCGCUGUUCUGACGGUACCCAAAGAAUAAGCACCGGCUAACUUCGUG
rnacentral:rRNA from 1 species